rnacentral:rRNA from 1 species
UACAGAGGUCCCAAGCGUUGUUCGGAUUUACUGGGCGUAAAGGGUGCGUAGGCGGUUGUUUAAGUCUGACGUGAAAUCUCCGGGCCUAACCCGGAAACUGCGUUGGAUACUAUUCAACUAGAGGAAUGGAGGGGAGACUGGAAUACUUGGUGUAGCAAUGAAAUGCGUAGAUAUCAAGUGGAACACCAGUGGCGAAGGCGAGUCUCUGGACAUUUCCUGACGCUGGGGCACGAAAGCCAGGGGAGCAAACGGG